UAAUAUCCAAGUACUUAAAGGGGGCCUACAAGAAAGCUGGAGAGGGACUUUUUACAAGGGCAGGUAGUGAUAGGAGGAAUAGAUUUAAGCUGAAAAAGGGUAGGUUUAGAUUAGAUAACAGGAAGAAAUUCUUUACUAUGAAGAUGGUGAGGCACUGGUACAGGUUGCUGAGGGAAAUUGUAGGUGUCCCAUGCCUGGAAAUGUUCAAGGCCAGGUUGGGCAGGGCUUUGAGCAACUUGGUCUAGUGAAAGGUGUCCCUGGCCAUGGCUGAGGGGGCAGAAUGAGAUGAUCUUUAAGGUCCUUUCCAACCCAAACCAUUUUGUUAUUCUAUGAUAGUGGGCAGGGUUGCUUGUGGAGGAGCACCAAUAAUGAUUUACCUAAGGCUAUGUCUCUCUGUGCACUAUCUGUACAUAUAGAACAAAUUUUAAUUUUUUUUUCUCUCAUUGGCUUUCUCUUUUUCUGUUUCUGAAAGACUUGAUAGCAUUUGAUUGCUUACAAUAUGCAGGACUUAACAUUUUAUUUAAAUCUACAUCAAUACUGUAUUUUCAGGCCAGGUUUAAGUCCAUCAUUGUAUCAAAAUCUGCUUCCCAUUCACCCUGUCCAGUUCCUAGUAUUUAAGGACUUGGCUGCACGCUGGAUUUUAGUCCUAGAAACACAAUAGUAAGAGCAAAUUGAGCAGAUUAUGCUGGACACUGGAAGACAGUGCUGCCAGUCUGGUGUUCAAACAUAACAGAACACUAGAGUCUAAGCAUCAAGCAUUCCAGUGGCCUUCUUCAGGAUAUAGAAUGAUUGUCAAGUCAGGUGAACUAAUUUGAUUUUAAAAUAUAAUUCCUGUCCUGCAUCUGGUGUUAAAAAUUCUCUCAUCUUUGUGAGGAGAAUAGAAUGGUAAUGGAAUGGUAAAGAAGGGGCCUUUCUUUU